ACCGAAUAGAUACCCCGGUAGUCCACGCCGUAAACUAUGAACGCUAGCCGUUGGCGAGCUUGCUCGUCAGUGGCGCAGCUAACGCAUUAAGCGUUCCGCCUGGGGAGUACGGCCGCAAGGUUGAAACUCAAAGAAAUUGACGGGGGCCCGCACAAGCGGUGGAGCAUGUGGUUUAAUUCGACGCAACGCGCAGAACCUUACCAGGGUUUGACAUCCCGAGACCGCUGCUGAAAGGCAGUUUCCCGCAAGGGCUCGGAGACAGGUGCUGCAUGGCUGUCGUCAGCUCGUGUCGUGAGAUGUUGGGUUAAAGUCCCGCAACGAGCGCAACCCUCGCCUUUAGUUGCCAUCAUUAAGUUGGGCACUCUAGAGGGACCGCCGGCGACAAGCCGGAGGAAGGUGGGGAUGACGUCAAGUCCUCAUGGCCCUUACACCCUGGGCUACACACGUGCUACAAUGGCGGUGACAGUGAGCAGCUAACUCGCGAGAGUAUGCUAAUCUCCAAAAACCGG
rnacentral:rRNA from 1 species